CUGUGUUGGGGUGUUUUCUUCUUUGUAGCCAAAAGCCACCUACCAUGAUUCUGUCCUAAAAUUGGAAAAAUAAGAGGACCAGAGAGGGCAAUAUAACUUUUUCUCACGCAUGCCUGGUGCAGUUCAUGGAGUUUUCUGCCUGGUCCUUUUAAGCACUGAGUUUGCGGCUCCUGUCCUCAGCCCCUGGGAUCGCAUCACUGAAGACUUCAUGCAGGUGACUUACCCCUUUGUUGGGUGUACUUGCAAUAUACUUGCAGUAUACUGGAGAGUAAUUGUGUGAGUGCCUUGCAACUGAAAUAAUCAAACAAGUGACCUACCGGAACAGCAGGCAGCUUUGUCUUGAAAGCAUGUGGUUGCAGGUGGCUGCUCAUCUCCAGGACCUGCAAAAUGCACUGAAAUUGGAAAUGCACUGCUGGCUCUAGAAUUCACAGCCUUUCAUUUUUCCGAUGGCAACUGUCUUAUUCCUGAUCCUUGUCCUUUGCAGAUCUCAGAAGGAUGCUGUUUGCUGUGACGAAUUCAGGAACCCAUUAGGGUUUGCCUAACUUUGACUUUUUCAUGACAUCUGUGCUUGUUGCUUCACAUUCCGGGUGAUUGCACACCCCUGGCUGCCGGACGGUUGCAUCCCCUGAUUCACAGUUUCGACUUCCUCAAAGCUCUGGUUCCCGAGCAGCCAUCGUGGAUCCUGUAUCACCCAUCCACUGAACUCCUACCCAGAAGUCAUGUCUGAGGGCUCAACCGCAGCCCAGCACUUCUGCCUGCCUGGACUUCCCAGUUGCUGGGGAGCAGCGCAGACAGGUCAAGCUCAUCUUCCCCCAUCAGGACAGCACACAGUCAUAGGCCUCGUAGAAGCAGAAAAAUGCCAGAGUGAAGUAAGUCAAGAGAGCCAAGCAGUGGAGGGGAGCCAGUCUCACAUCUUGGGCCCAAUCAGGGCCACAUGAAGCUCUGUGUGUUGAGUCAGCACUCAGGAUACCUUGGGCUUGUUUGUACAGAGGAUAUGAGACUGUAUGGUCAAGGAGAUGGAUUCUGAUUUGACAUUUUGUGUGUGUGGGGUGCACUAAUUUUGAGCCUGUGAGUAGAAACCUCUACUUCUUGGGUACCUUUUCUCCCAUGUUUUAAAGACCCAUAAGAUAUCUGCACGUAUCAGGCAUUCACCCAUAGGAGGGGGCAGUGAUAGAAGGGAGAGCAAGAGAGUAAGUGAAAGAAAAGGAACUUGUACUUCUAUAGCAAGGAGGCAACCUGUUACCAAUUGUGCGAGCACACCUGCCCACUCAGCUAACUUCCACUUUUAAACUUCUCCGUCACCUUAGUCUAUAUUGCAAUCAUAAAACAGAUCAUUGGUAGCUGUAAACACACUCACUCUGUGGGUUUGGCCUACAGGAGCGAUCAGGGUGAUGGAUACAGUGGACAAGGCUGGAGCAAGAGCUUGGAAUAACUCAGCCCACAACGAUGAAGGGGUUUCAGGUCCCUGGGGAAAGAACUAGUUGUUUAGUAAAUUCUGUUGGAAAAAGUGACUGAAUGUGUGGGAUAAAUAGGCUUCACAAUUUAUUCCAACGUAAAUUCCAAAUGGAUUAAAUACUAAAAGAUGGGCUGGGGAUACGGCUCAAGCGGUAGCGCACUCGCCUGGCAUGCGUGCGGCCCGGGUUCGAUCCUCAGCACCACAUACCAACAAUAGAUGUUGUGUCCGCCGAGAACUAAAAAAAUAAAUAUUAAAAAUAAAUUCUCUCUCUCUAAAAAAUAAAUAAAUAAAUAAAUACUAAAAGAAACCAAAAAUAUAGAAGCAUUAGGAGAAAAAGUUGGCAAAUGCAAAAUCUUAGGAAGGAAAAUGUUUUUUUAAGCCUAACACUAAUGUCAGAAGCUGUAAAGGAAAAGUUAAUAGAUUUGACUACACAAAGACUAACAUGUAUAUAAAAAAUCAGUGCAGGGAUGGGGUUGCGCUCAGAGGCAGAGCGCUCGCCUAGCAUGUGUGAGGCACUGGAUUCGAUCAUCA
rnacentral:lncRNA from 1 species